GCCAUCUGCUGGCGAAGAGAAGCCAUUGUAAUGCAGCAUGGCAAAUAUCUUAUUUACAUAAAUCAAUUUGGCUGGCAGUGGCAAAUUGUACUGCUCUUUUUGUCAGUGAGUGACAACACUAAUGUUCACCAAAUAAGUGAUUAGCAGCUAAAUUGAGAAUUAAAUAGUGCGUUGUUGCAUCUCUAACUAGAUCAAUAGAUGAAUGUUUACAGACUGGGCACGUGCAGCUAAUCCUAACUGCUCGAGUCAAAAAGAUGGACAGCAAACGAAUGAGUACUUGAUCGAGUUGUCCAGCUCAAGGAGAAGACAAGAUACAUUGUCAACAAAAAAGAUCAAAUUAACGAAGUGUAACAGCAAGCCUGCACUGUCCAAGAAGAAACGAAAGGAUGAGAGAAGGUCGAUGCCUCCACCACGACCCGUGAUAGAGACCGCUGCCCGAUGUCAAGGUGAAGGAGAGAGAUCACAGAGACGGAGAAGUCCUAGCGUUGGCCAAAGAUGCACUCCUCAGAGCAUGAUGAAUGAAGACCUCUUCACCUUCUACCAGAGAGACGAGCACACGUCAACCAACCAACCUCAGUGGGCAGCCAGACAGGCUGUGUUAAGGACCAUCGGUAGGAUGCUGCAGGAGAACAGAAGCAUCAGAGAGAGACUGGUCUCCCUCAGCCAUAGCAUAGGCUAUACAUUGAACUCAGUCUGAAGACUAGAUUACAAUCUGGGAAUGAUACAUAGAUUAUGGAACUUCUCUUUCCCUCUCAAACUCAGGAAUGGAAUAUUUUUUAUUUGUUUCCCUUCAAUGUUAUGAUUUUGUUUUAACCAAGUUUAUGGACUACCUGGCAAAUGUGCUGAUUUGAGAUGGAAUGAAGAUGAGGUUAUUUAUGUUACCUGAAACUAAACCUGUACUGUACAUCUCGAGCAAUCUGUUCCUAUAGUUUCCUCUGGUUGAAGAAAUAGACUAAUAUACGUUGGUUUUGAUGGGGAACACACAGAUUUUUACUGUUGUCAACUAUUUUGACUGUUGUCAUGGGGAACAAAGAGUUCUGAAUUAAAACAACUUCUUGAGGAGAAAGUGUUGUUAAUUUCUGUUAUGUCUGGUGAGCUAUAACAGGUCAACCCACCCUCCUGGAGUGCUACUACUGGGUAUGAAGGCUGUUGCACCAGCCCUUCUUCCUCAUGGAGAACCUCACCUCUUUUUCCACUAGAGGGAAGUGUCUCUAUUUUGUGUGUGUGUGGGUGUGUUAGAUACUGUACACUCAGCCACCUAAAGGUAGAAUACACAGGUCAGCCACAGCUCAACUUUCUCAGUCAGAGGUUCUCAGUAGAGCCUGUGAGUGUCCAAAAUGGCACCUUAAUCCCUUUAUAGUGCACUACUUAUGAACAGAACCCUAUGUGUUUCUGUUCCCUGCUCAUUAUUAGUGAAUUAACAACCCACAGCCAACAUGUGGUUCUGUUUCCUGCUCCUUAUUAGUGAAUUAACAACCCACAGCCAACAUGUGGUUCUGUUUCCUGCUCCUUAUCAGUGAAUUAACAACCCACAGCCAACAUGUGUUUCUGUUUC
ensembl:lncRNA